UGAGGAACAUGACCUUCGGCGGGGGAUAGCCGGCCCAACGGCCGGGUAAUACCGCGUACGACCACAUGGGGACAUCCCUGAGUGGUGAAAGCAGCAAUGCGCCGAUGGAGUGCCUCGCGGCCUAUCAGCUAGUUGGUGAGGUAACGGCUCACCAAGGCGACGACGGGUAGCUGGUCUGAGAGGAUGGCCAGCCACAUUGGGACUGAGACACCGGCCCAGACCUNUACCGGGGAG
rnacentral:rRNA from 1 species